rnacentral:rRNA from 1 species
UACGUAGGGUGCAAGCGUUGUCCGGAAUUAUUGGGCGUAAAGCGCGCGCAGGCGGUCAUUUAAGUCUGGUGUUUAAUCCUGGGGCUCAACUCCGGGUCGCACUGGAAACUGGGUGACUUGAGUGCAGAAGAGGAGAGUGGAAUUCCACGUGUAGCGGUGAAAUGCGUAGAGAUGUGGAGGAACACCAGUGGCGAAGGCGACUCUCUGGGCUGUAACUGACGCUGAGGCGCGAAAGCGUGGGGAGCAAACAGG